rnacentral:rRNA from 1 species
CCUACGGGUGGCAGCAGUGAGGAAUAUUGGUCAAUGGGCGAGAUCCUGAACCAGCCAAGCCGCGUGCGGGAAGACGGCCCUAUGGGUUGUAAACUUCUUUUGUCGGGGAACAAAACCCGUCACGUGUCCCGUACUGCGUGUAUCCGAAGAAAAAGCAUCGGCUAACUCCGUGCCAGCAGCCGCGGUAAUACGGAGGAUGCGGGCGUUAUCCGGAUUUAUUGGGUUUAAAGGGAGCGUAGGCGGGUAGGUAAGUGUGCCGUGAAAUUGCGGGGCUCAACCCCCGCAAUGCGGUGGAAACUGGCUGACUUGAGUGGGCGGGAAGUACGCGGAAUGCGCGGUGUAGCGGUGAAAUGCAUAGAUAUCGCGAAGAACGCCGAUUGCGAAGGCAGCGUACGGGCGCCAGACUGACGCUGAGGCUCGAAAGCGGGGGGAUCGAACAGGAUUAGAUACCCUGGUAGUC